rnacentral:rRNA from 1 species
UACGUAGGGAGCAAGCGUUGUCCGGAAUCAUUGGGCGUAAAGCGCGCGUAGGCGGCCCUGUAAGUCCGUUGUGAAAGUCAAAGGCUCAACCUUUGAAAGCCGAUGGAUACUGCAGGGCUAGAGUCCGGAAGAGGCGAGUGGAAUUCCUGGUGUAGCGGUGGAAUGCGCAGAUAUCAGGAGGAACACCAAUUGCGAAGGCAGCUGGCUACACGAAUAUUGACACUGAUGCACGAAAGCGUGGGGAUCAAACAGG